GUGGGGUGUUGACAUGCCUCAUAGACAUCAUGAUCGUAAUAGUCUCUGGAGAAGCUUCAUAAUAACUCUUCAAGAGGAGAAUAUUGUGAUAGUCCUCACUAAUGAUCAUUCCAUAGUCCACAAAAUAGCAACUUUGGGAGGAGUAAUCUAUCUGAGAUGGGCCGGUUAUUUGAAGAUGCCGAUAGUAAAUCUAACCAGAAAGAUGGUUGAGACUGCAAAAGAUAGUAAUCACUUGAAUACGGUUAGGCCAGGCUAUUGGUGUGGAAUAGGAUCCAAUAUAUGAUUAGGAACCGGAUAUUUUCAGAGACUCUACUCCAUCUACAAUGUCAUGGUCUGCUAGAGCCGCAUCAGGAUCCAAACAACCAUGAAGAGCCCAUCUCCUAUAUGCAACGGUAUUCUUGCAAGCUCUACCAAGCUAGGCAAUUUGGUCCCUAUCCUAUGUAGUAAGAGUAUACUACGACUCACUAGCGAAUCAAAGACCCUCCUAGGGCUACACAUCAUAAAUCAUGAUGCCCUGUGCCCUGCUACCUCCCUAGCCCCCAGAUGCAUCAUCACUCGAACUAUCAUCACUGAUAUCAUUGAUGAUCUGGGCAACAUGUCAUCAGAUGACCCAUCGAUCUCCAAAUCAAAUUAAAUGAAUUCCUCCUCAAGUCUCUUCAAAGAAAAUGCAACUACAUUUCCUUUGUCUUUCUUGUUGGCUUGAAUUGCUGCCUUUUUGCCUUGACUCUGCAGGAAGGAUCAACUAUGCCCUCCACCUGAGUAAACCAAGUACCAUGAUGGCCUCUCCUCAACAUCUCUCAAUUCUCCUACCCAAUGUCUAUGGUUGAAUGACUAGAUAUGAGCAUGGAAUCAUUCUAGCCAUUGCUCCGCAUCCAUUCUAGCCUCUUUGGUUACAAAACUAGCUAGUCAAAGAGGUGAUCCUUUCUCAUCCAACUCUAGCUCCUACUGCUCACCCUAAAGCCAAUCAAUCAUUGAAACCC
rnacentral:lncRNA from 1 species